UACGUAGGGUGCAAGCGUUAAUCGGAAUUACUGGGCGUAAAGCGUGCGCAGGCGGUUAUGUAAGACAGGUGUGAAAUCCCCGGGCUUAACCUGGGAACUGCAUUUGUGACUGCAUAGCUAGAGUACGGUAGAGGGGGAUGGAAUUCCGCGUGUAGCAGUGAAAUGCGUAGAUAUGUGGAGGAACACCGAUGGCGAAGGCAAUCCCCCUGGGCCUGCACUGACGCUCAUGCACGAAAGCGUGGGGAGCAAACAGG
rnacentral:rRNA from 1 species